rnacentral:rRNA from 1 species
CCUACGGGUGGCAGCAGUGGGGAAUAUUGGGCAAUGGGCGCAAGCCUGACCCAGCAACGCCGCGUGAAGGAAGAAGGCUUUCGGGUUGUAAACUUCUUUUCUCAGGGACGAAGCAAGUGACGGUAACAGAGGAAUAAGCCACGGCUAACUACGUGCAAGCAGCCGCGGUAAGACGUAGGUGGCAAGCGUUAUCCGGAUUGACUGGUUGUAAAGGGCGUGUAGGCGGGAGUGCAAGUCAGAGGUGCCAACCACGUGCUCAACCUGGGGCCUGCAUUUGAAACUUUCGUUCUUGAGUACUUGGGUGUCCGCCCGCAUGCCUAGUGUAGCGGUGAAAUGCGUAGAUAUUAGGAGGAACACCCGUGG